ACAGUCACUGACAUUAGAUACCCGGGUAGUCCGAGGGUGUAAACGCUGCAGACUUGGUGUUGGGAACCCGUUCGGGGGUGCUCAGUGCCGGAGAGAAGUUGUUAAGUCUGCUACGUUGGGGAGUACGUCCGCAAGGAUGAAACUUAAAGGAAUUGGCGGGGGAGCACCGCAACGGGAGGAGCGUGCGGUUUAAUUGGAUUCAACGCCGAAAAACUCACCAGCAGCGACUGUUACAUGAAAGUCAGGUUGAUGACCUUACUAGAUUUUCAG
rnacentral:rRNA from 1 species